ACCAAUUACUAAACCUUAGCAAACCUGCUCAAAUCGGGUUUUUACUGAGUCUUCAGAUUGGUCAAGCUCACCAAAUGGUAAACGCUAUGAAGGUCACGAUACCCUGGGGUGCAAGCCAGCUCCAGGCUCUAUCGCUUCUGAUUAAACAGGUGAUGAAUUAAUUUAGUGAAGCCAGUGUCAGGAGCCUAACAAGCUUUGAUAGCCGAGCGAGGCACACUUUAC
rfam:Lyngbya majuscula 3L genomic scaffold scf52118, whole genome shotgun sequence.